rnacentral:tRNA from 1 species
GGUGAGAUGGCCGAGAGGUUUAAGGCGCUCUCCUGCUAAGGGAGUAUGUAAUUUUAUUACAUCGAGGGUUCGAAUCCCUCUCUCACCG